UACGUAGGUGGCAAGCGUUGUCCGGAUUUACUGGGCGUAAAGAGCGCGCAGGCGGUCGAUCAAGUCGCGUGUGAAAGCCCCCGGCUCAACUGGGGAGGGUCACGCGAUACUGAUCGACUCGAAGGCAGGAGAGGGUAGUGGAAUUCCCGGUGUAGCGGUGAAAUGCGUAGAUAUCGGAAGGAACAUCAGUGGCGAAAGCGACUUCCUGGA
rnacentral:rRNA from 1 species